CAGGACCCUAAAUGCACUCUGCUAUCCACUGCUGUGCUGAUUUCCUGCCUGUUCUGGCUAAAGCAAUAACACAAACAUGGAUCCAGGAUCAGCCUCCCACACUUUUACACCUCUCCAGUCUACUGUUCGAGGAAACGGCACGCUGUUCUGGGUUCAGCGGGCAGGAUGCUGCUCUCCGACAGCAAGAGGGAAUUCUGGACACACACUCCCUGCUGCCUAUCUGAAACGUGAGAGUCAAACACAAUUGGAGUCUUUGAUAAGUCCCAAAGCAGAAAAUGCUGUCAGUGGAGCAUCAUUCACAAAUGUAUUACUCAGACUGUAACCUAUGCCCAAAAAAACAAUCCUUAACUUUUGAUUUGAUUUUAAUCCAUUCAGCUAUAAAUAAAUCAGAGAACAGAGAAUGUUUUGAAUAAUUCUGAGUGAUCAGGGCUGACAGCACAUACUGUAGAUCAAUGCCGUUAGUGCUCAUUGUUUCCUGAUAUUUCUCAGACAGGUUGAACUGACUGUCUGGGGAG
rnacentral:lncRNA from 1 species